AGGAGGAAAACGUCAGAAUUUGUUAAAAAGGCAGACUGAAAGGCCGCACGCGGUACUCGUGAGUUUGUUAUCCUAAAUUAAUAGCUAAAACGUAUAAGUUCUUAAGUAUAAUCUUACGGUUCUACAGUUGGUUUUUUCUUAAAUCUAAGUGCGACGGUAAAAGUGUGAAUUUUCGAGCAAAUUGAACUUAAAACUAAACAGAAAUAUGUACAGCUUAUAGGUUAGCGUUGGAGAGAACUGUUCGUUCUUGCAAAAGGUUUCGUCGAUCCGCAGUCAGUUUGAAAUCGUAAUUACGAAACUCGCGUUCAUAGUUGGCAUCGAACCUUAUCAGUCCCAGUUAGACGUACAGGAAACCCACAAACGAAAUUUUUAAUUCGCCGCACUCAGCGACGUGCCAAAUAUACGUAUUAAAAGUUCGAAAAAUCGUUUCCUUCGUUGCAUACGCAACAAU